AUUGAACGCUGGCGGCAGGCCUAACACAUGCAAGUCGAGCGGAUGAAGGGAGCUUGCUCCUGGAUUCAGCGGCGGACGGGUGAGUAAUGCCUAGGAAUCUGCGUGGUAGUGGGGGACAACGUUUCGAAAGGAACGCUAAUACCGCAUACGUCCUACGGGAGAAAGGAGGGGACCUUCGGGCCUUGCGCUAUCAGAUGAGCCUAGGUCGGAUUAGCUAGUUGGUGAGGUAAUGGCUCACCAAGGCGACGAUCCGUAACUGGUCUGAGAGGAUGAUCAGUCACACUGGAACUGAGACACGGUCCAGACUCCUACGGGAGGCAGCAGUGGGGAAUAUUGGACAAUGGGCGAAAGCCUGAUCCAGCCAUGCCGCGUGUGUGAAGAAGGUCUUCGGAUUGUAAAGCACUUUAAGUUGGGAGGAAGGGUUGUAGAUUAAUACUCUGCAAUUUUGACGUUACCGACAGAAUAAGCACCGGCUAACUCUGUGCCAGCCGCCGCCGUAAGAC
rnacentral:rRNA from 1 species